AGGGAAUCUUCCGCAAUGGACGAAAGUCUGACGGAGCAACGCCGCGCGAGUGAUGAAGGUUUUCGGAUCGUAAAGCUCUGUUGCCAGGGAAGAACGUCCGUUAGAGUAACUGCCAGGAGAGUGACGGUACCUGAGAAGAAAGCCCCGGCUAACUACGUGCCAGCAGCCGCGGUAAUACGUAGGGGGCAAGCGUUGUCCGGAAUUAUUGGGCGUAAAGCGCGCGCAGGCGGCUGUUUAAGUCUGGUGUUUAAUCCUGGGGCUCAACUCCGGGUCGCACUGGAAACUGGACGGCUUGAGUGCAGAAGAGGAGAGUGGAAUUCCACGUGUAGCGGUGAAAUGCGUAGAGAUGUGGAGGAACACCAGUGGCGAAGGCGACUCUCUGGGCUGUAACUGACGCUGAGGCGCGAAAGCGUGGGGAGCAAAC
rnacentral:rRNA from 1 species